rnacentral:rRNA from 1 species
GACGAACGCUGGCGGCGUGCUUAACACAUGCAAGUCGAACGGUAAGGCCCUUCGGGGUACACGAGUGGCGAACGGGAGAGUAACACGUGGGUGAUCUGCCGUGCACUUCGGGAUAAGCCUGGGAAACUGGGUCUAAUACCGGAUAGGACCACUGCCUGCAUGGGUGGUGGUGGAAAGCUUUUGCGGUGUGGGAUGGGCCCGCGGCCUAUCAGCUUGUUGGUGGGGUGAUGGCCUACCAAGGCGACGACGGGGAGCCGGCCUGAGAGGGUGACCGGCCACACUGGGACUGGGAUACGCCCCAGACUCCUACGGGAGGCAGCGGUGGGAAAUAUUGCACAAUGGGCGCAAGCCUGAUGCAGCGACGCCGCGUGAGGGAUGAUGGCCUUCGGGUUGUAAACCUCUUUCAGCACCGACGAAGCGCAAGUGACGGUAGGUGCAGAAGAAGGACCGGCCAACUACGUGCCAGCAGCCGCCGUAA